UGAAGUUUUCUCUAAUUGGGAACAGA
rnacentral:piRNA from 1 species